GAUCAUUUGUUCUACUUAAUAUGGAUCGUUAGAUCGUAUGCACCAACGGCCCAGAUUGAGGCUAGGAAUUUUUAUCCGCGUUGCAUUAUAGAGGUACUAUUUAUGCAUUAUAAGGGUAUAAUUAACCAUAUAUGAAAAUUGAACCGCCAGAUUUUGGGAUGUCUGAAAUUUAAGCGAUUUGGUGAUUUCAAAGCUUCAGUCGGUUCUUUCUCUCUCAUUCACCACUCUCUAAUUCCUCUCUACUCUCUCCACUCUCUCCACUCUCUAAAACCCUAGUUUCUUGCGCCGUCGUGCUUCGUCGAUAGACUGCGAGAAAAUUGUCAUCACUCGUCCAACAUCCCGGCACCCACCCUCCACCGGUGAUAACAACGAACCCAAACGGCGACACAUGUCCUGUUCUAUUCAACCAUUCGCCUAGAUCUAAAAUGCCUAAACGGGGACGUCCGCGCUCACAGCCAUCACAAGCUGCAGAGAAGCAGCUUAGAGUCGACAUAGACGAUGCGCCACAUGGAAACGUACUUCGGGGAGAAAGAGAAGGAUUGGGAUUGUGGGCUGAGCGCAAAGGAACAAAAAGCUUAGAGAUGUUUAGAAUCAAGUUUGCAAGGACGCUCCUUACCUGUGAGCACAACACCCGAGGUGCCGCAAACCAGUCCAAAGCAAUGAAGUAUUGGAGGGAGAGACCUGCCAAGUUCAACUUCGAACAGUGGGUCAAGAAUUAUGGUCUUUAGUGAGUGAUGGUUUCGGCUAUAGGUUGAUGGAGGUUAAUGGGUUGCUUGAUUGCUUGGUUGAAUUGCCAAUCUUAAACAAAACGUUUUUUUUU